UAAAUGAGGACUUUCAGAGA
rnacentral:siRNA from 1 species